rnacentral:lncRNA from 10 species
AAUCAAUAUAUGUAAGAUGUACAUCAGUUUCGUCUGGAAAGAUGGGACAACAUGAAGCAGGGAGGGGGCUCCCUGGUGACAGUUGCAGGAAUUUAGCCAAUUCAGAGGUCUUGUUCUCCAUAAUUUGGAAUUUUCCUUCGGAUUUGAUCAAGUUGGAUAGAGUUGGUCAAACCCAAUGGGAAAAAGAUGAAAACAACAAGAAACAGAAACAAACAGCAACAACAACAACAACAAAAACAAUGCAUUUAAUUAAAUGAAGAUGAGCUCAUGCUGGAGUAGGGUGGACUCUGAACCCAGUGGGACAAGCGUCCUUAUUAAGAAGAGGGAAAUCUGGACACACACAGAGCAGAGACCGCCGUGUGAAGAUGGAGGCAGAGAUCGGAGAGAUGCUGCCACACGCCACAAAUGCCUGGGGCUCCCAGAAACUACACGGAGCCUCCCCCAGCGGCUUCAGCAGGAGCAUGGCUCGGCCAACACUUUGAUCUUGGUCUUCCAGCCUCCAGAACGGUGAGUCGUUUUCCUAAAAUUCCCUUUUCCACUGGUGUGUGGUGCAAGAUGAGGCACAUUUUCCAUGGAUGGUGAACAGAGGGAGGAGCCUUUUGAUCACAACCAGGUCACCCCACUUCUAAGCCACUGUGCCUCCAGCCCCACAAGACUAAGGAGAGAGAGCGCAGCGUGGUGGAGAGUGAGCUGUGCUGGGACCAUUGUUUCCGUAACCUCGUUUUCUGUGUCCAGCUGACACACCUUCAAAGUGGCAUCAGGUCCUAAACUGUAGCUUGCAAUGUGCCUGUUUCCAGAAACCAAGGUGAAAGUGCUUUUAGACAGUGUUCCCAUGCAAGAGUCCCUUCCCAGCUUUUUUCUGGAAAUGCAUGUUUCUCUGAACUCUGAGUCCCAAGAAAAAUCACUUGAGACACCAAGAAAAUGGGGGAAGUGCUAAAAUUGUGUGGGAAUUCAAGCUUAACAAUAAACAUCAAGACAUUUUUGAUAAAAAUGAAUCCACUGACAUCGGGGAGGAGCAAGAGAACAGCACGCUGACACUGGGUCAGAGGCUAAGACCGACAUUUCUGGGAACCACUCCCGGAAGGGCACAGAGGAGACGCUUUCAGCCUCUCAUCAGCCAGCCUGGCCUGUAGCUGCUGCACGUUAUGAGUGUGUUCCUGGCAUGACUGCUUCUAACAAAGAAAUGCUGAGGCAGUGUCACGCUGGUGUCUGUCCUCCUUACAGAAUGCCUGAACAGUUCCAUUGACUCAAAGUGAAGAUCAAAAGAACCAAAUGACAGCAAUAGCCAAGUGUAAUCAUCAGUAACCCUGUGUUCUAUCCACAGUUAAAAGAAUAUUGGCAGAGAAACAGCCUUGGUGUUCCAGCAGGAGUGAAGAGGAACAGGAAAACGAGUGGCAGUAGCCCUGAAACAGCCACUUCUGGUGGUUGCCACUCACCUGAGGAUGUGAGUCUUGGCAGGCCAGGCUUCUGGGGACAGGGGGCCCAAGGCACAGUAGACGGUAAUUUUUAAGAUUAUGGAUGGACUGUUGGGUACUGGUUAAGAAUUCUGGGUUUGGCCAGGCACAGUGGCUCAUGCCUGUAAUCCCAGCACUUUGGGAGACUGAGGCCGGUGGAUCACGAGCUCAGGAAAUUGAGACCAUCCUGGCUAACACGGUGAAACC